CUUUCUUCUUCGAUGUUCAUCGGCCAUUUACGGAGAAAAUUCCAAUGGCUUCCAAAAAUAAUAAUUUAGGCUUUCUAUUUGAGAUUGGCAUUUUCACGCAUUGUUAUAAUUCUCAACCUGCUCGGAUACUUCAUCCCAAAGAGGUUAGCCCUGUUCGUUGUUAGAUCGCGGCGGUAGCGUCUAGCGACAGAUUUUACAAAGCAAAAAAGAAAAACUUAAACGGAAAGAAAGAAGAAAAAUGGAAGAAAUCCUUGUUUUCAUGUCGCAGCCAAGAGAGAGAAAGGAGGAACACUGACGCUAUUUAAUUUGGCGACACAAAUACCACCGGAUUCCGUCAGAAUAAUUGACGCUGCGUUCUCUGUUUUAACACUGGCGGCAAGUUAAGCAAAAAAUGAUGAACAAUUUCCAGCCGCUCAUGUCAAUUGCUGCGAUCAACUAACGAACAGGGCUGUUGAGAUUCCCUUCAAACCAUCAAUGCCUGCUUCUUCAGAAGUGUAAAAAGCUUGCAUGAGAGAGAUACCACGGAUCAAAAACAGUCUUGAUGCUAAACAGAUUAAUCCACUGGUUAGUGAAAUUGAAGCUAUUUACUGACCUUCUUUUAUAUUACUUACUAAAUUGGGGAUCUGUUUUGUUCCAUGUAUGUAAACAAACUGAUCUCGCUGCAAUGGGGCAUCUUCAAUAUUUGUGGAUUGCACAAUGGAACAAAGCAAGAAGAUACUAUAACGGUCAUGAAAUGCAGGGAACAGAGGACAAUCUUUUGGAACAGGUGGAAUUCAAAGGGUAGAUAAAGCCUAGCUUUACAUCUCUGGCGGUUUGAGCCGUAAACCUCCUUAUGGCUAGCUCAGUUUCUUAAGUUUUAUUACUUUCUAUGUCCUUUACAUUCGAACUGCGUAUUGCAAGUUUUUGCUUCUUCGGAUUUUCAAAACACUCCACCUUUUGAGGGCAACCCUACCGACCAUGUGGGGUUAAAAAGGCCUACUUAAAUCCUUAGUUAGGAAUAAAGAUGCCCGGUUUGGAUUCAUUUUUAUUACUGGAAGAAUCUUUCCAAAAGGUGUGAAGAACCUAUUCAUAUCGAUCCCUGCUGAUAAAGUCCUUCUACUCAGUAGAGCUUCUGGAGGCUUGUAAGACAGUGAGAAUCUGAUGCCUUUCUGCCAUUAAGCACAUGCUGAAAAAGGAAUGGAUCGUAGCAAAAAAAAAAAAGGAAUGGAACAAUAGUUUUUUUUUGGCUAAGAAACCCGAAGAGAAGAUACUUGAACCGACUGAGAUGGUGAAAAAUAAAGUUGCAGUGGAAGAUUGGUCAAAGCAAAAACAAAAGUUCUGUUUGGUAAUUGAAGAAUAAUAAAGAUAGAUCUCUACCGAAUAAAAAUCAAUGAAAAGAAUAUAAAUGGUUAUGUAUAUACUUGUAUUUAUAGAGAAAAUAGAAUAAUAAUAAAGGAGAGAGUAAAAGUUAGUCGUGUGAUUUUGAUGAGUAAAGAAGAAAGUGAUCUUCAUUAUUGUUGUAUUUUUUUUCUUCUACGAACAACAACUUAACUCAGCUAUUUAUA